rnacentral:rRNA from 1 species
UGAACGCUGGCGGCGUGCCUAAUACAUGCAAGUCGAGCGAACAGAUAAGGAGCUUGCUCCUUUGACGUUAGCGGCGGACGGGUGAGUAACACGUGGGUAACCUACCUAUAAGACUGGGAUAACUUCGGGAAACCGGAGCUAAUACCGGAUAAUAUUUCGAACCGCAUGGUUCGAUAGUGAAAGAUGGUUUUGCUAUCACUUAUAGAUGGACCCGCGCCGUAUUAGCUAGUUGGUAAGGUAACGGCUUACCAAGGCGACGAUACGUAGCCGACCUGAGAGGGUGAUCGGCCACACUGGAACUGAGACACGGUCCAGACUCCUACGGGAGGCAGCAGUAGGGAAUCUUCCGCAAAGGGCGAAGGCCUGACGGAGCAACGCCGCGUGAGUGAUGAAGGUCUUCGGAUCGUAAAACUCUGUUAUUAGGGAAGAACAUACGUGUAAGUAACUGUGCACGUCUUGACGGUACCUAAUCAGAAAGCCACGGCUAACUACGUG